rnacentral:rRNA from 1 species
GCUAAAAAAUGCAGUCGAGCGAGCUUGCCUAGAUGAUUUUAGUGCUUGCACUAAAUGAAACUAGAUACAAGCGAGCGGCGGACGGGUGAGUAACACGUGGGUAACCUGCCCAAGAGACUGGGAUAACACCUGGAAACAGAUGCUAAUACCGGAUAACAACACUAGACGCAUGUCUAGAGUUUGAAAGAUGGUUCUGCUAUCACUCUUGGAUGGACCUGCGGUGCAUUAGCUAGUUGGUAAGGUAACGGCUUACCAAGGCAAUGAUGCAUAGCCGAGUUGAGAGACUGAUCGGCCACAUUGGGACUGAGACACGGCCCAAACUCCUACGGGAGGCAGCAGUAGGGAAUCUUCCACAAUGGACGAAAGUCUGAUGGAGCAACGCCGCGUGAGUGAAGAAGGGUUUCGGCUCGUAAAGCUCUGUUGGUAGUGAAGAAAGAUAGAGGUAGUAACUGGCCUUUAUUUGACGGUAAUUACUUAGAAAGUCACGGCUAACUACGUGCCAGCAGCCGCGGUAAUACGUAGGUGGCAAGCGUUGUCCGGAUUUAUUGGGCGUAAAGCGAGUGCAGGCGGUUCAAUAAGUCUGAUGUGAAAGCCUUCGGCUCAACCGGAGAAUUGCAUCAGAAACUGUUGAACUUGAGUGCAGAAGAGGAGAGUGGAACUCCAUGUGUAGCGGUGGAAUGCGUAGAUAUAUGGAAGAACACCAGUGGCGAAGGCGGCUCUCUGGUCUGCAACUGACGCUGAGGCUCGAAA